CCGGCUGUAGAAUGUCCAUGGCCAGAUAUUUUUAUCCAUGGUUAAAACAUGGAUAUCCAUGGCCAGAGCAUGGAUAUCCAGGUGAAUUAGGAGUUUUUCCAUGGAAAAGUUGAAUCCAUGGACAGUUGUCCAGGGAUGAAGGCAGGGAUAUCAUGGACAUUGUCCAUGGAAAGUGAAUAGCAGCAUGGACAUGGUCCAUGGUCAGCUUUUCUGUUCACACUUAGAAAUUUUCUGAUGAAUAAGGCAGAAAAAGUUCUAAGUCGAAAAAAUGGGAUUUUUUUUAAAAAUUAUUAAUUCAUUACUGUCCUUACCGUUUUAUGGUCAUAUAGGUAUUCAAAUUAACUGAAAUGAAACAAGGAAUGUAACUAAAUAAAAUAUUUAAAAAAAUGUAAAUUAGAAUUAUAUCAUUUUAUUAAUUCAUCUUGAUAGUUGAUGUAACAAGAUAUCAUACAUCAUUGAAAAUAUACCCCACUAUUAAGCUAUUCAUUUCUUUCAGUUUGUUAUUGAACAUCACCAAAAAAAAUACAGUAGUUCAUAAGGAUUAAAUGUCAUAUAGUCAAAGAAAUUGUUAUGAAAUUAUGCUCAUAUAUGUAAACUCAUCAUAUUAUAAACUGAAUUAGUCUAUGCCUUUGAUAAUCCAGGCAGUGAUUAUUUAUCUAGCUUUUACAGCCAUUUAAUACACUGCUGUUCAAUGUGUACUGUUGUAUUAAUGAACACACAGAGAUAGCUGAUAACAUCUGGAGAUUCUGACCAAGAUAAAGACCAAUGGAAAUGCAGGUUUCUGAAGCCGUUUUACACAUGUAGCCCCAAGAAAUAAUCCCAAUACUUUUUUAUUUUUUUCUGUGAUCUUUGCAAAUUCUGUGAGCAAAUAAAUGGAAAAAUUCUCAUGAACUGUAUAUAGUUUUUAAGAACAUUCCAGAUAUUCCCUUCAGUAACUAUACUGUUCCAAGGAAUAUUGCUCAUGAAUACAACAAUUUGAAUGUAAACAGGAAGUGCUUUGUCUAGAUGUUGGAGGCAAAAUGGAAUGGAGCUAAAUAAUUUUGUACCUUGAAAUUCUAAAAUGCUUUUAGAGAGAUAUCAGAUGCAAGAGUGUACAUAUUUAGUUAUUAGAAGCAUUGUCUUCAACAUGUAUGAAUGAAAUGAUGUAAUCAGAGAUAUUUGAUGGCUUUAGUGCCUAUGCUACUGGAUGAAAUGAGAUCACAGACAGAGACCCCAUCAAACACUAAACUAAAUGGCUGGGAUGAGGUUCCUGACCCUGGUGAUGGUUUUAGCAAAGCUAUAAGAGACAUUCUAGUGCCACCUAUAGUGAGCCAACAUAACUCCAAAAAUGAUUUUGUUGUAUUCAUAACUUUCUAUUAAAUCAUUUUUAUAUUUAAUAUAUCUUGUAGUUUAAUUUUUUAGUUAAAGCUAAGUGAAUAUUUAUCAUUCUUUACCAGACAUCCACUUGUCUGAUAUGUAGAUUUGAACAAAUGCCCUGUUACGGUAGGAAGUUCAAGCCACAAUUGCCAGGCUAGGCUAAGAAGUGCUGCAUGAUGACAGGUCCUUGGAUGGCAUGGACCCAGUCCACGGAUGGCAUGGACACCAUCCAUGGAUGGCUCAGACACUGGACAAUGUCCAUGGAUGGCAUGGCCACUGUCCAUGG